GAAAAACGACCACUCAGGCACUCAGUUGUACAGUACAACCUUCAUCAACAUCAAAGUAGUACAGUACUCGACAUCAGUUGAGGUGAAUGAUGAGUGUCACAACUAAGUUUUUGAUUCCCAACAAUUUCAUCAUUGAUGUAUAAGGGUAAAAUGAUCAAAAAAAAAUAUAUAUAUAUAUAUAUAGGGAAAGUUUCUGGAACGACACGUCCGCACGGACACCAGAUCGUGAACCCAUCGGAGGUUCUACGGUUCCAGAACGGAGGUCAAUCCAGAACGGAGGUGAACCCAUCGGAGGUUCUACGGAGGUGAACCCAUCGGAGGUGAACCCAUCGGAGGUUCUACGGAGGUGAACCCAUCGGAGGUUCUACGGUUCCAGAACGGAGGUCAAUCCAGAACGGAGGUGAACCCAUCGGAGGUUCUACGGUUCCUGAUAGUUGAUCGACACGCCGCAUCCGUCGCUGCAGGGAAGUGGAUUUGGGAUGUUGUAGUGUUUCAUCUCCGCCCAGGCCACCGCCUUUUCUGUGCGGUUGCAAGCUUUUUGCCUAGAAAUCUUCUAGUUAUUUGUUUAAAUCCCAUCCCGGUGAUCCCGCUCAGCAACUAUUUUAAUUUGAUUUUAUUUCAAAAUCACUGCUUAGUCUGUUUAUUUAUUUAGAGGAACCCAUCGGACGGUGGAGGCCCUGAUAUUUCCUCUAUAUAUAUAUACUCCAUAGCAAUCUUAAUUGGGUACAUUUGACAAUUUCCCUCAUCAUUUUAUUCACCUAUAGGUGGAAUUUUCAUACAUAUUAGACUUGGAUAGUCUUGGUUUUAACGUUAAGAUGAGUACACCGCAUAAAAUUUAUAUUUUUAUGGUUUUAAAAUAGCUUGAUUUCUUUUUAUUCAUUUUCUGCACUGAAUUUUGGCAGCCUGAAUAUCAAGACAAAACAAUGAAACUUCGAAUUCCUUUCUCU
rnacentral:lncRNA from 1 species